UGGGGAAUAUUGGACAAUGGGCGAGAGCCUGAUCCAGCAAUGCCGCGUGAGUGAUGAAGGCCUUAGGGUUGUAAAGCUCUUUUACCAGGGAUGAUAAUGACAGUACCUGGAGAAUAAGCUCCGGCUAACUCCGUGCCAGCAGCCGCGGUAAUACGGAGGGAGCUAGCGUUGUUCGGAAUUACUGGGCGUAAAGCGUACGUAGGCGGUGACUCAAGUCAGAGGUGAAAGCCUGGAGCUCAACUCCAGAACUGCCUUUGAAACUAGGUCGCUAGAAUCACGGAGAGGUGAGUGGAAUUCCGAGUGUAGAGGUGAAAUUCGUAGAUAUUCGGAAGAACACCAGUGGCGAAGGCGGCUCACUGGACGUGUAUUGACGCUGAGGUACGAAAGCGUGGGGAGCAAACAGGAUUAGAUACCCUUGUAGUCCCUGAGCGGGCUGGCAAGGCGCAU
rnacentral:rRNA from 1 species